rnacentral:lncRNA from 1 species
AAAGUCAAAUCUUAAGAAAUAAAGAGGAUGAGAGAUUAAUGAGAAGGAACAUCAAUGUUAAGUAACGAAUUUGUGAAUAAAGGAUUACGACGGUGGCAUAGAAAAUGAGUACUAUAAAGGAUUACUAAGAGGAUUUAUAAUUCUUGUAUUAACUCAGUUAAAUGAAAAGUGAUUAAAUGAAGCAACUCUUGUGGUAAACAGCGGAAUAGUGGAGUUGAUGUAGAGUCUUGUUUAUAGUCAGUGACUGCAGCACCGAUUAUAGACAGGAGGCUACGUAGACUCUUUAUCUUGGGAAACCACUUAGUAUAAUCCUAAAUGACAUAAAGACUCAUGAUCGAGAGGAUUAUUGCUGAUCAAACUUCUAAAGGGUAACAAUAGAUAUAAGUGAAGUAUUCAAGUUGAGUUGGAAAUAAAUACGAGGAGAAACUCAAGAUUCCCUAUAAAGGAGAUAACAGGAGAAGUUGAGC